rnacentral:lncRNA from 1 species
GAAUCUUGUCCGUAUAAAUCUGACACUUGUGGCAUUUCUUUACGUAUUUGCAGCAGUCAGACUCCAUUGUCAGCCAAUAGUAGCCUGCUCUCAACAUCUUUUUUGCCAUGGCAUGCCCAUUGGAAUGAGUACCAAAUGAACCCUCAUGGACUUUAGUCAUCAACAGGUCUGCUUUGUGUCUAUCCACGCAUCUGAGCAGAACCAUGUCAACAUUUCUCUUGUAAAGCACAUCACCAUUAAGGUAAAA